rnacentral:rRNA from 1 species
CUACACAUGCAGUCGAGCGGAUGAGAGGAGCUUGCUCCUGGAUUCAGCGGCGGACGGGUGAGUAAUGCCUAGGAAUCUGCCUGGUAGUGGGGGACAACGUUUCGAAAGGAACGCUAAUACCGCAUACGUCCUACGGGAGAAAGCAGGGGACCUUCGGGCCUUGCGCUAUCAGAUGAGCCUAGGUCGGAUUAGCUAGUUGGUGAGGUAAUGGCUCACCAAGGCGACGAUCCGUAACUGGUCUGAGAGGAUGAUCAGUCACACUGGAACUGAGACACGGUCCAGACUCCUACGGGAGGCAGCAGUGGGGAAUAUUGGACAAUGGGCGAAAGCCUGAUCCAGCCAUGCCGCGUGUGUGAAGAAGGUCUUCGGAUUGUAAAGCACUUUAAGUUGGGAGGAAGGGUUGUAGAUUAAUACUCUGCAAUUUUGACGUUACCGACAGAAUAAGCACCGGCUAACUCUGUGCCAGCAGCCGCGGUAAUACAGAGGGUGCAAGCGUUAAUCGGAAUUACUGGGCGUAAAGCGCGCGUAGGUGGUUUGUUAAGUUGGAUG